rnacentral:lncRNA from 1 species
GAGACGCACUGAGAGUGAGCAAGAGCGGCGCUAAGCUUUGGCUCCUCUCAUCAACUAUCAUCUAACGGGCACACAGCCUCCACUGCCUAGCGAUGUGCUCCACUCCAGGCUGCUCCUAAUCAAGUAGCGGUAUGCAUGCCUGCGCGGCUCCUGCCUGAUGGUUCCAUCUCCCGACGCAGCUCUCACUGGCUGGCAUCGAUUUUCAACACGCCUCUUGGGAAAUGAUAAGAAUGC